rnacentral:rRNA from 1 species
CCGGCGGACCGGCGGGACGGGUGCGUAACGCGUAUGUAACCUACCUUUGACAGGGGGAUAACAUCGAGAAAUUGGUACUAAUACCCCAUAACAUCACCGGAGGCAUCUUCGGUGGUUGAAAACUCAGGUGGUCAGAGAUGGACAUGCGUUGUAUUAGCUAGUUGGUGAGGUAACGGCUCACCAAGGCGACGAUACAUAGGGGGACUGAGAGGUCAACCCCCCACAUUGGUACUGAGACACGGACCAAACUCCUACGGGAGGCAGCAG